CGCGCCCCACCCACGACAUCUUGAUUGCACGACGCCCUCCCCUACCCGCCGCCUACCUCGCUCGCAGCCUCAACCACAUCGCGGCUACUGGUGUCGGGCACCAUGCAGAGCGGCCGCGCGGGCCAGCCCACGCCGACGUGAGAGAAGUACGUGUCGCUCCCGACGCCGGACAACACCGGCCCCUGUAUCUCCGUCGUCGAUGCCACGAAGAUCGGCAUGGUGUUGGCCUGAUUCAGGUCGGCACGGGAGAUCCCAUCGGCAGCCAGAGAUGCGUGCGCCGACAAUGCGGCGGCCCAGGCCGAUUCGCGGCGCAGGCGGGCGAGAACGAGGGACACGUGGCUCUGGUGCCGGGCCUGCUCCUCCCGGAUGAAGUCCCCGGAGUGAAGCCGCAGGGCGAGCCCGCUCUUCCCGCUGGAGUGCUCCUCCCUAGCAAGAACAUCGGUGUCGCUCGUGGAGAGGGACUGGUGGAGGUGGACGGCGUCGGUGGUGGCGGCUGCGUUGACGCCGCCCUGACGGAUCGCACAGGCCCCAAAAAUCCGGCUUCGUACAUCAUGAAGGUGGAACUGUACUUUCUUCCGUGAUGAUAUCCAGCUUUGCCGGCGGCCGUGGUGGCGCUACCCUGCCGGAUCACAGAUAAGCUGCUGCAGCAGAACAGCCCCAGAAAAGAUGCCCACCUAUUGAGCGAGCAGGACGAGCUCUGUAGUUGUGUCACCACGUUGCUGAUGUGCGUCAACAGUUUCCCAUCGAGGAUGUACUUGUAUAUAAUCACGCCAUGAUGCCAGAUCGAAAAGCCCACACACUGUAGGUCAAGACUCCAUCCAGUCAUUGAUCAAUUUAUUAUUCAUCAGUUGAUCCCAUACUUUUGCUGGUCUAACCGUUGCACUGAAUAUAUUAAAAAUACUAAAUAUAUUCAUUACUUAUCAUGAUGUGUUUCAAUGGAAUAUAAGAUCAGUUUAUUGAUACUUUCUCUGUAAAGAAAUAUAAGAGCAUUUAGAUCACUGGAGUACAGUACAAUCUUUACUAUCUUGCACAAUAGUGGACAUAUUUCUAAAUAUGUACAAAAAACACCAAGUUAUAUAAUUAGGUAAACUAUGAAUUUUACAAAUCUCCAGAAUUAGGGUCCCAUUUUUCAUUUCGCUCCAGGACCCCACAUUCGUGUAAAAGGCAGAGGGGGCGUCACUACAGCCAACGGGAAGAUGGAUGAUGGAUGGUGUAUGGAUGGGGGUGGAGAUGAGAUCUCACGGCAUUCUUAUACUUCCCUCCACUCCCCUGUGCUGCCUUUACUUAUCGUUUAUCUCACAUUGCAUAUAGUGGAGCAUGGUGUCCAUGGAUUAAUUUUUUCGAGGGUACGAUGUCCAUGGAUAUUAAGGGAGGCAGCCGGACGACUAGAUAGUUUUGGUGGACUACUGGCGGGGGGCAUAGGGGACAUGCUCUUGGUUUCCAUCUAAUUUACUUUGCUUAUUAUGUCUUUUCUGAAGUUGCUGAGUAGGCAGUGGCAUGAUUAGAAAUAGAAACCUAGUGAUUUAAAAUGGUUUGCCACCAGGUGUGUUGCAAAUCUAAUAUACUGGCUGAUGUUCCAGAGCAAAGCAUCUUGACCUGCAUGUGGUUAUUCAUUCGGGAUGGUGAGAGCGGUGCUAACAUAGGAAUCAUUUAUUUGAACACUUCUAUAUUUUGUAACCAUGGUGCUAAGAUGUCGGCCGACCGCGUGUGUCGCCUCCCGCAAUCAGUGAGAUCCGAGAGGAAGAGGGGAGGCAGAGAGGGGACGGAGUGGGUAACAAGGGAGGCUAGGGAGGACGAAGAGGAUAGAGAAACCUGGAAGCGCGAUGGUGAAGGUAUGGCCUCCCCAACCCCAAGCAGCCCUAACCACAGUAGCAAAGUGUGCAUCCAUUGAAAUAAACCAGACAUUGCUUAUGUACACUACUAAUGAUUGUAGGAUUAUAUUUCGGAAGGAACCAAUUUUUUAUGGUCACCACAACCAUGAUCAUAUUUUCAAAUAGCCAAGAAUUGUGAUUGAUCCUCGGCUAGAGGCACCGAUUGGGAGUUAACUCACACUAUGAACAUCUUAUUCUUAUGAGGUAACCAUAACACAUUUUCUUGAUUGACAUGCAUCCCUUAACACAGGCAUAACAGGAAACCUUGGUCAGACCCUGGAACAUAAGGUGGAGAAUUACAGUAGGUUGUUGACAUCUUUGAAAGUUGUUUGUUACAUUGAUUUUUCUCAAUAGAUUCAUAUUAGGCCCGGGUUUAUUUGAAUGCCAAACACAUUUUAUGGCUACAACUGUAUGUCAGGGGGAGUUAUAGUUAUCACAAGGCUAAUGACAUGUGAAUUUUUAGAGACUUCUGGAGUGUUGUACAUAUGCAAAAACUUUUUAAGGUGCAUGCCAUCAACUUCUGGAUUUUCUUUAUUUGCAUCUCUUGUCCAUUUUUCUUGGUCAUAUAAAUCUUAAGGUAGUCUACUUCGCACCAGUGAGCUUCAAUAAAUUAAUAAUAUGAUUCUUUAUCGUAGUACUAUGAACUUUUAUUUUCAUGAAAUUACAAUGUUUAUUAUAAGUAAGUGUGGUUCUACCUUUAAAGGUUUGCACAACUGAUUUGUCUGUCAGCGAGUUCUCUAACUGGUUUCACGUGUACUUGCUACAGCCGCAGGAGCAAGGAUGUCAUAUUAUGCAGAUUGAUGGUUUGAUUCUGUAUGA